GACGAACGCUGGCGGCGUGCUUAACACAUGCCAGUCGAACGGAAAGGCCCUGCUUUUGUGGGGUGCUCGAGUGGCGAACGGGUGAGUAACACGUGAGUAACCUGCCCUUGACUUUGGGAUAACUUCAGGAAACUGGGGCUAAUACCGGAUAGGAGCUCCUGCUGCAUGGUGGGGGUUGGAAAGUUUCGGCGGUUGGGGAUGGACUCGCGGCUUAUCAGCUUGUUGGUGGGGUAGUGGCUUACCAAGGCUUUGACGGGUAGCCGGCCUGAGAGGGUGACCGGCCACAUUGGGACUGAGAUACGGACCAGACUGCUACGGGAGGCAGCAGUGGGGAAUAUUGCACAAUGGGCGGAAGCCUGAUGCAGCAACGCCGCGUGCGGGAUGACGGCCUUCGGGUUGUAAACCGCUUUCGCCUGUGACGAAGCGUGAGUGACGGUAAUGGGUAAAGAAGCACCGGCUAACUACGUG
rnacentral:rRNA from 1 species